rnacentral:rRNA from 1 species
AUACGUAGGGGGCGAGCGUUGUCCGGAAUGAUUGGGCGUAAAGGGCGCGUAGGCGGCCCGGUAAGUCUGGAGUGAAAGUCCUGUUUUUAAGAUGGGAAUUGCUUUGGAUACUGUCGGGCUUGAGUGCAGGAGAGGUAAGUGGAAUUCCCAGUGUAGCGGUGAAAUGCGUAGAGAUUGGGAGGAACACCAGUGGCGAAGGCGACUUACUGGACUGUAAAUGACGCUGAGGCGCGAAAGUGUGGGGAGCAAACAGGAUUAGAUACCCUGGUAGUCCACACUGUAAACGAUGAAUGCUAGGUGUAGGGGGUAUCGACCCCUUCUGUGCCGCAGUCAACACAAUAAGCAUUCCGCCUGGGGAGUACGGCCGCAAGGUUGAAACUCAAAGGAAUUGACGGGG